AAACACGGAAAGAAUAACGAAGGGGGUAACCAAAAAGAAUCUGCCCUUAGGUUCGGAAUAACUCAGAGAAAUUUGAGCUAAUACCGGAUGAUGACGUAAGUCCAAAGAUUUAUCGCCUAGGGAUGAGCCCGCGUAAGAUUAGGUAGUUGGUGGGGUAAAAGCCUACCAAGCCGACGAUCUUUAGCUGGUCUGAGAGGAUGAUCAGCCACACUGGGACUGAGACACGGCCCAGACUCCUACGGGAGGCAGCAGUGGGGAAUAUUGGACAAUGGGCGAAAGCCUGAUCCAGCAAUGCCGCGUGAGUGAUGAAGGCCCUAGGGUUGUAAAGCUCUUUUACCCGGGAUGAUAAUGACAGUACCGGGAGAAUAAGCCCCGGCUAACUCCGUGCCAGCAGCCGCGGUAAUACGGAGGGGGCUAGCGUUGUUCGGAAUUACUGGGCGUAAAGCGCACGUAGGCGGCUGUUCAAGUCAGAGGUGAAAGCCUGGAGCUCAACUCCAGAACUGCCUUUGAAACUAGACAGCUAGAAUCAUGGAGAGGCGGGUGGAAUUCCGAGUGUAGAGGUGAAAUUCGUAGAUAUUCGGAAGAACACCAGUGGCGAAGGCGGCCCGC
rnacentral:rRNA from 1 species